GACGUAGGGUGCGAGCGUUGUCCGGAUUUAUUGGGCGUAAAGAGCUCGUAGGCGGCUCGUCGCGUCGACCGUGAAAACCCGCAGCUUAACUGCGGGCUUGCGGUUGAUACGGGCGGGCUAGAGUUCGGUAGGGGAGACUGGAAUUCCUGGUGUAGCGGUGAAAUGCGCAGAUAUCAGGAGGAACACCGGUGGCGAAGGCGGGUCUCUGGGCCGAUACUGACGCUGAGGAGCGAAAGCGUGGGGAGCGAACAGG
rnacentral:rRNA from 2 species